GGGCAACUUGUGGGAUUGAUGGAACAGCAACAGGACCUAGCUGCAGGAAGGAGUAGGUGAUGCAGGAGUUGGUAAGGUGGUUCAACUCCACUUGAGGAUUCAUCUGUUAAGAGACCUUGUCUCGCCUUCUGUCUUCCUUCCUCUUCACAAAACUUCAGUGGCACGACAAGAUGCCCAGUCUGCCUGUGACAGGUUGCAGGGACACUACCUCAUCCCCAGCGAACAAAGAGUUUACCACCGCUCAGCUUCCCCCUCCUGUUGCAGAGAAGCUGGGAGGACUAUAGACUGGUUGCUGCUAUGAAAGUUAGUACUAAUUGGUAUUUGGAUGAGAAGAACUGAAUUCACAUGAAUGCUGAAGUAACUGCUCCCCCUUAGAAGGGUCCACCCAGAAUGGUUUGCUGUGUUGUUGCAGCCCAUGUUAUAACAGACUAGAGGAGAUCCGAUUCUGCAAAGUUCUGUUUAACCAUUCUACCAAAAAUCACCUUCGAUUUCAAUGGAAUUGUUCAGAUCAAAUAAUACCCUAAGUCGCCUUUCAGAACAAUAAAGUACAUAAAAACUGCUGAAAAGGUGAAGCUGAAGUCAGGCUAUAUGAAUCACAGCAAGAGAAAAUACAUCACAUCACAAGAAAAGGGGAACUGGAGCUAAUUUCACUGCUGUUAGUGCAAAGGAUCCUGUUUUGCGGCUUGGGACUCACUAUGUAUGAUAGUAAAAUAACACUAUCAGUAUUUAUUGAUCUCUCCCGUUGGCUUGGCAUUUAUGUCU